UACAGAGGUCCCAAGCGUUGUUCGGAUUCACUGGGCAUAAAGGGUGCAUAAGUGGUCGAAUAAGUCUGAUGUGAAAUCUCCGAGCUCAACUCGGAAAUGGCAUUGGAUACUAUUUGGCUGAAGGGUUGGAGGGGGGACUGGAAUACUUGGUAUAGCAGUGAAAUGCGUAGAUAUCAAGUGGAACACCAGUGGCGAAGGCGAGUCCCUGGACAACUCCUGACGCUGAGGCACGAAAGCUAGGGGAGCAAACAGG
rnacentral:rRNA from 1 species